ensembl:lncRNA
UAUUCACAUAUAAAGUAUUAUUCCCACUUACUUCCUCAUUUCUGCUCCUUUCUGAGUCCCUUGCAUACUAAUACUUUUAAACAUAAUACAAAAUACUACACCAAAGGAACAUUUUCAUUACCAGAUAUGCCUGUUCUGUGUUAAGGGACUUCUGAUCCCAUCUGUUCCACAGAAUUUUUCAUAUCAUAGAAUUCUUUGAAACCAGAUCAGCAAAGUUCUCUUUCAAUGAACCAUUUGUUCCCUAGGCCACAACAAUAGUUUCUACCAAUAACAUCCUAUGUUAAAAAUGGUGUUUGUGAAAACAUUUUACCUGUGAUAUGUGCCAACAUGCUUUGGAAAUGAAAUUGCCUAGUAAAUUUGCUGUUGACGGUUAGUAAAUUUUCAUGAGUGCUAAUUAGUUAAAGUCUGAGCUCCUUCUGGUUUCUUGAUCUUGGGAUGUGCAGCUCAAAAAGGCACAGUCCUGUGGGGAGCCAACAAUGAAAGCCCUUUGGUCUUUAUUCAAACAGCAGAAGAUUCUCUUUUCAAUAAUCAACUGCUCAUUUGACUCCUAUAAUUCUCUUUUUCCUUCAUUUCUGCUUAUCCUUCCUCUUCAUGACUUUCAAUCCAGCUUUGAAAUUUGAUUCUUUGAUUUGAUCCAUCUGCCAUAUUCAUUCCUCAAAGCCAUUAUCAAUGCCUUUGCAGAAAUUCAUCGGAUGCCUGUGAACAUUAGAAGACAGAGAUAUUACAAGGCAGGGAGAUAUUAGAUGACAGGGAGAUUUAAAAAUUAGUGAACAGGAAAAAAUUAAUUAGAAAAAGAAAAAAAUAAAAAUUAGCAAACAGGAAGAAUAUUUUGGUAUGUGAAUUCUUUCUCAAUAAAGAGGUUACUUAAAAAAUAAAUAAAUAAAAAGCAAUGAAUUGACACUGUCCUAGCUCCAACCCACCUCCAAAGAACUGAUACACAAUCACAUACUGCUCCUUCUGAGAAACAAGCUACGUCCUUGUUCAUCAGCUUGAAGGAGGGUGACAUUCCUCUCAGUAUCCAAGCCAAACCCCCGCUCCAGUGUUACCAGUGAGCUGUGGAAUCACAGUGAGUGGACUGAACUGAUAAAGGCAUUUCAUCUACCAGCUUUUACACAUGCCCUUUAAAUACUAAAAUCAAUUCCAAUGUUCCUAUUUAUCCACUGGUGGUACUCAGGUGUGUAUAUAGCAAACCAGCUCUCAGGGAAGAAGCGUUGCCUCUUUCCACACAAUCCAAAGUGAUGGCAAAUUACAAUGGGGUAAUGAAAUCAAAACUCUACCUAAGAAAAAAGUAUCUACGGACUGGAUAUAUUCUAGGCUACCUUCCUUUUCAUUUUAUUUUCCAUUUCAUGUGUUUUAUCCCACCUUGCCAGUCUUCUCCUCCUUGUAAUGCAUUCUCUAGCGAUGCUGAACUUACUGCUACUUAGAAUGGCAGAUAGGACAGCAAAAAGAUGAUGUCACCCUUUAGCCAAAUUGCACUGUUAUUAUAGAACCGCUUGUACUCUCACUCAUUUAUCUCUGCCAACAUCACUCCAUAGGACGCGCAUCCAGGGCAGAAGUGAGCUCCCUUGGCAACCAAAGUGGUCGAGAGUGCACAUUCAUUUACAGUCCUGAGAGGUAGAAUUUAGUAAAUCUUGACAUUUUAGAAAUACGUUAGGAGUUGCCGCUGUGGCACAGUGGGUUAAGAAUCCAACUGCAGCAGCUAUGGUGGCUAUGGAGGCAUGGGUUUGACCCUCAGUCCAGGGCAGUGGGUUAAAAGGAUCUGGCACUGCCACAGCUGUGGCAUAGGUCACAGCUGCAGCUCAGACUCAACCCCUGGCCUCGAAACUUCUUUGUGCCUCGCAUGCAGCCAUAAAAAAGAAGUAAAAAUAAAAUCUGCGAAGAGUCUUGAGCAUGAAACAACCCCCAAAUUCGUUCUCCUUACAGAAAAAUUUUCCUCUAAAAGCAUGCUUUUGACUCAUGAAAAUGGCAUGCAAACAAAAGUAGUGUCUUUUGUAAGUCCAUGCAUAGAUGUUAAUAAAUGAUUUUACACUUCAGUUAUAAUUUGAUUAGGAGUUGGGCAAAAAUUAGUAAAAGACAGCUAUGCAGGGUUCUACCAGGCGCAUAAAAAAGCUUUGACAUCAAAUGCCAGAAUUAGAUGGAGUUCCCGUCAUGGCUCAGAGUUAAAAAUCUGACUAGUAUCCAUGAGAACACAGGUUCCAUCCUUGGCCUCGCUCAGUAGGUUAAGGAUCUGGCAUUGCCAUGAGCUGUGGUGUAGGUCGCAGACACAGCUCGGAUCCCCUGUUGCUGUGGCUGUGGCAUAGGCCAGCGGCUACAGCUCUGAUUCGACCCCUAGCCUGGGAACCUCCAUAUGCCGUGGGUGCAGCCCUAAAAAAAAUUUUUUAAGACAAAUAUUUUCUUUUUUCUCUUAUUAAAAUACAACUGAUGCACAUAGCAAAAAUUCCAGUAGUGCAAAAGUAUGUGCAAAGAAUAGGAAAUCUCUCUCCCACUCCUGACCCCAGCCCCCUCGUAUCUGCCCCUCUGUCACUUCAGGAAGACAAACACCACCACCCUUCCUGCAUCUCUUUAUUUUUGUGUGUGCUUUGUGGACCCCUUAGCUAUCUGAUGAAGCCUAUGGGCGCACCUCUCAGAAUAAUGCUUGAAAGUAAGUAAAAUGAAGUGCAGAGGAUUGCAGAGGAAAUCAAUUACAUUGCAGUAUGGUUCUCUCCAUGAUCCCCUAGGGAUCUGUAGACUCCACGAUAAGAGCCUCUGCUCUUACUGUCCGUACACACGCAAAAUCCUGUGUUUGUGUGAAUCCAUCCUUUCCCACAAACAGCAGCGUGCCUCCUGCAGCAGGUGCCACUGGGCUCUUCCCAGAUGCCCUAUACAGCCAGCACCUCCAGACCCCGGCUGCUGUGAGUAUUGGCGGCUGAUGGCUCCCAGUUACCCCUCCUACAGAGAACCCUCCUCCCCACACCGGCCGGCCAGCACGGGGGGUACAAAUGGUUGCAUGACACUGUGGUACAAUUUAUGCUCCAGAGCUCCACGUGGAAUCAGGCUAAAGCUGAUGUCCACUGAGACCAUCUCCUAGCUUAGCUCUUCCCCCCGCACCACCCACUUCUCCUGGGAGCAAUCCCUCCUCAAAGCACCGCAAUCCCUGCCUCAGCCUCUGCUUUCAGAAAUCCUGACUCAAGGCACUUACCAUCCCUUACCUUGACUUUUCCAUUUAUUGAUUUCUUGGAAGAGGUUCCACAUCUAUGCGUGUGGAUCCAUUGCAUUCUUGUAACAGCCACAUCCUAAUCCACUAAAUGGAUUUACCAUAAUUAAUUUAGCACAUUUCCAGCACAGUCAUUUCCAAUAGCUCUUCUCUGGGAACUUAAUCUAAUUUUUACACAUUUAAAUGUAAUUACUGACUUAUCACAUUUGAAGCACAGACAGCCCCCAACUUAGGAUUUUUCGACUUCACAAUGGUGUAAAAGAGACACCAUUCAGCAGAAACUGCACUUGGAGUUGUGAAUUUUGAUCUUGUCCCAGGCUAGUAAUCCAUGGCCCGAUACUCUCGUGAUGCUGGGUGGCAGCAGCAAGCUCAGCACCCAAUCAGCCACCAGAUCAUAAUCAACAUACGUACAACCAUUCUGCACCCACAAAACCAUUCUGUUUUUCCCUUUCAGCACAGUGUUCAAUAAAUUGCAGGAGCUAUUCAACAUUUUAUUGUAAAAUACGUUAGAAGAUGCUGCCCAACUGCAGGCUAACACAAGUGUUCUGAGCACAUUUAAGGUAGGCUAGGCUAAGUGGUGAUGUUGAAAAUGUAUUUUCAACAAAUGGUAUUUUCAUCUUAUGAAGGGUUUUUUGGAACAUAACCCCAAUGUAAGUUGAAGAUCUAAUUAGUUGCUAAGGAGCCUUUCUUCAAGUCCUCUGGCGACAAAACUUUAGAACCUUGCUAUCUUUUUGGAAUAAGGCUUUCUUCUCAAAGAAAUUUAUGUUUCAAUUUGACAAACUCUAAAAGACUCAGCUGACCCCUAGCCCUUGCAUCUCGUAAUCCCCACAGCACUGGCCUCUUUAGCACCAAAAGGAACAAUCUUCACUCUCAAGAGGAGAAAAACUAGGACCUGCUAGUGCAUCACUGGAACCAGAAAUCACUGGACCUCACCACCAGCAAGAGGGGUUAGACACUUCCCUGGAGUCUGGUAGGAAACUGCUGGAUCCUGUGUUCUUACACACCACUCUGACCAACAAAAGUUCCUUCUCCAAGACCACACAGCCUAAACCCCCAGGGGGAAAAGAGGUGUUUCCUCUCUGCUCCUCCACUUCAAAGGUGGCUCACCCUCCAGGGUAGCACUUGGGAGCGUUUAUUUGAGGCUGAACUUUCAAAGAGCUUUCCUGCGUGUAAGAAUCUCCCCACAUGUAAGUUCCAUUUCCCCAAGAUCAAAUCCAGAACUCGAUUUUCCGCCUAGCAGCUGUUCACAGUGCACAGGAUGAUAAACCCAGGAUAGUGCAAAGCAAGGAAGCAGUUGUCACCCGGAACACUCUUUCCGGUCAGAAAGGAAGAGAGUGGCUGAGAGCCCUGAGCACCCCAGGCUGGCAGGGCAGCAGGGUCUCUGCUGAGUUCAUUCAGUUCUGUUACUCACAUCUCAGAAUGAAGACUGAUCAUUUACCUCAUCUUUGUUUCUCUUUCCCUCAUAGGCUCCCCACCCCCACCCCCACAACCGUAAAUUCAAUUUCACUCAAAAUCAGAGAAAUGCAAAGCAAAUAAGAGAAAUACCAUUUUCUAAUUACCAGAUUGGCAAAGAUGAAAAAGAUCGAUGAACUGCCUUCGUCUGAACAUGAGAAAACAUGCUUCUAGUGGGAGACUAAACCGUACAUUUACAAAGAGAAUUGGGCUACGAACAAUCAAGUGUGACACGCAAAACUCUCGACCCAUCGAUUUCACCAAUAGUAAUUU